CUGAACACGAGUCGAAGGCAGUCUGAUAGUCACGUGACGUCAGGAUAGAUCCCGCCAACUGAAUGUUCCGCGCUUUACUUUACCGUGCUGUGUUACAAGAAUAAUUACGCAAAUUCAUCUUAAUAUAUCAUCAUCAAGCAUAAUCAUCCAGCAUAAUCAUCCAUUGCAAUCCAGCAUAAUCGAUUCCUACGACUGUCAGAUUUAUGCUUGCGUACGUAGCAUAUCUACGAUUCGACGCGCGAGAGACAACCCAAGAUUGCGGAAAGAACGAGAAAGAGAGAGUGCAUCUGCUGAAGAAAAGAUGCGCGGCCAGUGCAGCUGCAACGAGUUUGUCACUCAUUCUUAAGUCCUGCAGAGAGAGGUUCGUCUGGACGUCGGGCAAGCGUCGAUAUAUCGACGUGUACGUGCGCAGCCGAGGACGAUAGCCUGGAAGAGAAAUUCAACGUAGUAAAUGGGAGAACGACGGGGACCCGAUAUUACGUACUUCCCGAUACAAGCUGAGCGA